AUUGAACGCUGGCGGCAGGCUUAACACAUGCAAGUCGAGCGGAGAUGAGGUGCUUGCACCUUAUCUUAGCGGCGGACGGGUGAGUAAUGCUUAGGAAUCUGCCUAUUAGUGGGGGACAACAUUUCGAAAGGAAUGCUAAUACCGCAUACGUCCUACGGGAGAAAGCAGGGGAUCUUCGGACCUUGCGCUAAUAGAUGAGCCUAAGUCGGAUUAGCUAGUUGGUGGGGUAAAGGCCUACCAAGGCGACGAUCUGUAGCGGGUCUGAGAGGAUGAUCCGCCACACUGGGACUGAGACACGGCCCAGACUCCUACGGGAGGCAGCAGUGGGGAAUAUUGGACAAUGGGCGGAAGCCUGAUCCAGCCAUGCCGCGUGUGUGAAGAAGGCCUUUUGGUUGUAAAGCACUUUAAGCGAGGAGGAGGCUACCUGGAUUAAUACUCUAGGAUAGUGGACGUUACUCGCAGAAUAAGCACCGGCUAACUCUGUGCCAGCCGCCGCCGUAAGAC
rnacentral:rRNA from 1 species